rnacentral:lncRNA from 1 species
UCCCCUAAAAACACUAAAAUAUUAAAAAAGGUGGGGUAUGAAGCUCACCUUGGUUUGUUCGCUGGGUGAUUUGAAGAGUGAUGAGGAAGUUGUUGGAAUAGUGUCUAAGGCUGCAACUAUAUUAGGCAAGUAUUUGACCCGAUUGUGCAUGGUCCUUUUGGGUUGCCUUCACCAUAGCAACUUGAUAGGAUGAUUUAUUAUGAGAGAGUAAAUAUUAUUAAUAUAUUAUGAGAAUAAUAUAAGGAAUAAUAAUAUUGUUAUUUGAUUAAUAUAAGUCAUAAAUUAAUUAGUAUUAAUUUGGUGACUUAAAGAGAUUAAUUAAAUAAGAGGGUAUAAACUGUCAAUUGUUUGAUAGUUACACUUUAGACUGUAAAUCCUUAUUGGAUGAAGGGUGGACGGAUUCUAGGGCUAGGGAUAGCCUCAAAUCGUCCAAUGCUUAUCUAAGGAAAGGAUUUGGAUUGCUUUAAGGAAAGAUUAUCCAACUAGGGUUUAAGGUGAAACCCUUAAGGAGUCUACAAGUAUAAAUAGACCCCAUGGCCAAGGGAAAUCGGCAUCUCAUCUAAAGUAGAGAACCCCUGGCCGAUUUCCUCCUAACCUCUCUCUCAAAUCAUCUUCUUUGCUAUUUGGUGUUUGUAAGCCAUUAGAGGAGUGACAAUUGUGACUCUAGAGCUCCAAGACAACAAGAUCAAACAAGAGAUUCAAAGGUAAACUUCUAGAUCUGAUUUUGUAUUGUUCUUAUACCUAAUUAGUUAUUAGAAGUCUUGGAUUCAAAGCAUGUUUAAUUAGAAAGCCUAGAUCCAAGCAUUAGGGUUUUGCAUGCGCACAUAGGAAAGUUCUUAUGGCUAAAACCCAUCAGUGGUAUCAGAGCCUAGAUUGGUUUCUAUUAAAUUGAUGCUUGUUUGUUUGAAUCUUGUUUGCAAAAUUCGUAUUUUGUGUUUCUGUAUCAUGAACUCGCUGAGUCCCAUGGUGGACUCGACGAGUUGGCCUGACUCGACGAGUCCAGUUGGGAACUCGACGAGUCCAAGCGUGAGGAAAGGCCAGAUUCAGGAUUUUUUGAUAAUUAUCUUAUGAAAACUUACCUUAAUCAUAUUUGAUCAACCCUAAUCCGAUUUUUUGAUAUACAUGACUAUAAUCUUGAUCUAAUUAAGGAUAUUUAUCAACUAAUAAAAUAUUUAAUUUCCUUAUAUGAUAAUUAAUUAAUUAUUUUGAUAAAAUUGGUAAUUAUCUUGCAAGAAAUAAUUAAAUAAAUCAAAUAUGGAUAAUUAUGGAAUUAAUUGUUAAUUGAGAUUAUUUGUUAUUUGAUCCUCCAUGUUUUAAAUGUUUAAAACUUGUCCUCAAGUUUUGAAAUUUAUGUUUUGUGAUUAAAAGUUUUAAUUUAGACAAUUUAAAUUUCAAACCCUAGAUUUUUAAAAGUUUAAAAUACAACCCUAUACUAAUAUAAUAUUACAAGAUUAAUAUAUAUAUAUAUAUAUAUAUAUAUGCAUAACUAAAAUGCUAGUCUUACCGUUAGUAGGCCUCAUUCAUGAAGCCGAUCUAUAAGGUGGGUAUAAGGUUGCGGCCUAUAAAAUGGCGCUUAAUGGGUGUACACUCACACCCACCGCCUGCUUGAUCGGUGGAGGGUGGUUAGCCGAACGGGUAGGAUAGGGCAACCUCAUCCUCUCAUUAAAAGUAUAAUAGGAAAUACAAAGUAACUACACAUUUUUUAAAAAUUCCCAAUCUUAGUUACUUUAGGAAAAGUGAAUUGAUGCAAUCCCAUGAAAUUACACUUUGCACCCUUGCUAAGAAGUUAGUGGAGCGUGUGUGGUUUACCGGCACACUAAUUGGUUCUAAGCAAAGGUGGCAAAGGGUGAUUCAUUGUUUAUCAUAGUUCGAUGGAGCGUGUGUGGUUUACCAGCACAUCGAAUAGGUGAUCGUUACAAUGAAGGCACCAUGUGAAUUUGCAUGGUAAUUCACACCCGCUUUGUGAUCCUCGGUAUCCCAGUCACAAACAAGAGGGGCAUAUCGAGAUUUAAACAUGCCAUUGAAUAGUUUCAAUGAAUCUCAUCCGAACCUAGGAAUUCUCAAUACAUUUAGGACUUAAAGUUAUGUUUUUAUGGUGGAGAAUUAGUGAAUCGUCAUUCACUUACCUUCAAAUUGUUUGCAUGUUAGAUUACGGCAUCCCUUUUCUAAUAUGUAAAUAUUGUUGUUGGAUCCUAGCCCUAAUUUUUCUUAUUGGGUGAUAAUUAGGGAUUCAUAUUCUAAUCUAUCUUUGUCCUUUCUAUUUGUAGAUGUCGAACGCAAACAACGCUGCUGCUAGUUCUUUCACAUUGAUGAGCCUUUGUCAAAAGGUCACUUUCGAUGGGACGAACUUUAGCGAAUGGAUAAGAUACAUUCGCACCAUUGCUCGCUAUGAGGAUAAGGAGUAUGUCCUCGAUGAGAAGCUCGAGAAAAUCAACCCUGAAAUCGCUACUCCGGCUGAAAUGACCGCUUUUGAAACUCAUGAGCGCGAUGCAACGAAGGUACAUUGCAUCAUGAUAGCCACCAUGAACUCCGAAUUCCAAAAGUCCUAUGAGGACAUGUACCCGUACGAGAUGCAUCAAGACUUAUUGGAGAGAUACCACCAAAACGCGAGACAAGAGCGUUAUGAGAUUUUCACUAACAUGAUUUCCGCUAAGAUGGGUCAUGGAGAGUCUCUUACCGUGCACCUGCAAAAGAUGCAAAGGUAUGUCGACCGCCUUCGCAAGUUAAAUGUUGACUUUGGGGAAGACUUGGCGAUCGACAUGGUGCUUCACUCUUUGCCUCCGAUGUACAAUCAAUUUAGGAUGACCUACCACAUGAACAAAGAGGAGGUCACCCUAAGCAAACUCCAAGGUCUCUUGAGGGUCGCUGAGAGCAACUUCAAGGACAAGUCUGUUGCACCAACUCCCAAUCCACCCGCUGCUCCUGUCUUGGCUAUUGGUCAAGGAAAGGGAAAGAAGAGGAAGGCUUCGUCUAAGAACUAUCGCAAGGUUAAAGCCCGAGAUGGUGCCUCUUCUAGUGGGACCAAAGUUGAUCCUGCUAAGCCCUGCCCUAACCCAAAGGAGGCAGAGUGCCACCACUGCCACAAGAUAGGACAUUGGAAGAGAAGCUGCCCAGAGUACCUGCAAGCCAUCAAGGAAGGAAAGAUCAAGCCAUCUUUCGCAGGUAUAUACACAAUUAAAUCUAACGAUUCUAAUCAUGCUAUUUCUUGGGUUCUUGAUACCGGUUGUGGUUACCACAUUUGUUCUAAUGUGCAGGGACUAAGAAGAAGUAGGGAUGUGGAGCAAGGAAGGAUCAAUCUAAUCAUGGGGAACAGAAGAUCGUCGCCUGUGACCAAGAUUGGAGUGUAUUCUUUAGUGCUUAGGAAUAAUUUAUGUUUAGAUUUGAACAAUUGUUGCUAUUCGCCAGAAAUGGCUAGAAACAUCAUUUCAUUUCAUGGUUUAUUUAGACAAGGUUUUAGAUUUUCUUUUAAUAAUGAGAAUGGUUCUAUUUUGGCUUAUCUAAAUGGUGUCUUUUACUUUGAAGCUAUACCAUGUAAUGGAAUUUAUGAAACUGUUAUGAUUGUUGAUAACUUAGGAAAUGAUGUUUUGAACAUAGAUUCUUCCACUAGUAUGGAUAAAGCAUCCUUGUGGCAUUGUCGUCUUGGACAUGUCAACAAGAAACGCAUAGCCCAACUCCAAAAGGAUGGAGUGUUGGAGUCAUUCGACCUUAGGGAAGAUGACACAUGCGAGUCUUGUUUGCUUGGAAAGAUGACUAAGUCACCCUUCACGAGUACAUGUGAAAGGGGCGAGGGUCUAUUGGACCUAAUACAUACCGAUGUAUGUGGACCGUUUAGAUCAACCACGAAGGAUGGGAACCGCUUCUAUGUGACUUUUACCGAUGACUAUAGUAGAUAUGGGUAUAUCUACUUAAUCAAGCAAAAGUCAGACACCUUUGAAAAGUUCAAAGAGUUCAAGAAUGAAGUGGAGAAUCAAUUGGGCAGGAAAAUCAAGAUGCUUCGAUCCGAUCGAGGAGGAGAGUACCUAAGUCUUGAAUUCCACGAUUAUCUCAAGGAGUGUGGAAUAGUUUCACAAUUGACGCCUCCUAGGACACCGCAGUUGAAUGGUGUGGCAGAAAGGCGUAAUCGAACCUUAUUGGAUAUGGUUCGCUCUAUGAUGAGUCGUGCUUCACUACCUAUCUCUUUUUGGGGGUAUGCCUUAGAGACUGCCGCCCAUAUCCUUAACCGAGUCCCUACUAAGAAGGUUGCCAAAACACCUCACGAGAUGUGGACAGGGAAAGCUCCCUCGUUGGCACAUAUCAAGGUUUGGGGUUGCGAGGCUUUCGUAAGACGAGAUACUCACGACAAGCUUGAACCUCGAAGUGAGCGAUGUAUUUUCAUCGGCUACCCGCAGACAUCCUUUGGAUAUCUCUUCUAUAGACCGAAGGACAAUGUUGUCUUCGUUGCGAGGAGAGGAGUUUUCCGAGAGCGAGAACUCAUAAGCCAAGGAGACAGUGGGAGGCAAAUCGAACUUGAAGAGAUUCAAGAGUCGAUAGAUGAAGGAACCUCUACCGCUGGCACUCAACCCGAGGAGGAAACUCCGGUUGAACCGAUUGACGAAUCCUUACCUCUUAGACGUUCCGAUAGAGUUAGAGUUCUUCCCCAGUUUUAUGGUUUUCAUAUUACUACCGAAGGGGACACGUAUAUUAGUGAUGGUACACUAGUAAAUCUUGAUGAACCUAAUAGCUAUAAGGAAGCCAUGGCAGGCCCGGAGUCUGCAAAAUGGAAAGAGGCAAUGGAUAGCGAGAUCCAAUCCAUGUAUGAUAACCAAGUUUGGAAUUUGGUUGAUUAUGUGCCCGGACGUAAGACCGUUGGGUGCAAAUGGAUCUUCAAGAAGAAGACCGACGUGGAUGGAAACGUACACACAUAUAAAGCGCGAUUGGUUGCGAAGGGCUUUACUCAAACUCCCGGAGUUGACUAUGAUGAGACCUUCUCACCAGUUGCGAAGAUUAAAUCUAUUAGAGUGAUGCUAGCAAUUGCCGCAUUUCAUGAUUAUGAGAUUUGGCAAAUGGAUGUCAAGACCGCUUUCCUUAACGGAAAGUUGGCUGAGGAUGUUUACAUGGCUCAGCCAGAGGGGUUUGUGGAUCCGAAGCAUCCGGAUAGAGUGUGUAAGCUUGAGAAGUCCAUUUAUGGACUUAAGCAAGCGUCUCGCAGAUGGAAUCUUUGCUUCGAUGAGAAAGUCAAAGAGUUUGGAUUUGUACGAAGCGAAGACGAAUCUUGUGUAUAUGUCAAAGCCAGUGGGAGUAUAGUAAGCUUCCUCGUUCUAUAUGUCGAUGACAUAUUACUCAUAGGAAACGACAUCCCGACUCUGCAGGAGGUUAAGUCCUGGCUCGGGAAGUGCUUCGCUAUGAAGGACCUCGGAGAGGCUUCUUACAUUUUGGGAAUAAGGAUAGUAAGAGAAAGAAGUAAGAGACUAAUUGGACUUAGUCAGAAUACUUACUUAGAGAAGGUACUAAAACGUUUUAGUAUGGAAAACUCAAAGAAGGGAGAACUACCGAUACAAAGUAAUGCCAAAUUGAGUAAGACUCAAAGUCCGAGUACCGAAGCUGAGAUAGCAGAAAUGAGCCGAGUACCAUACGCUUCCGCAGUUGGCUCAAUCAUGUACGCUAUGACUUGUACUCGCCCUGAUGUAGCCUUCGCUUUGAGCAUGGUUAGCAGAUAUCAAGGGAAUCCUGGCAAAGCACAUUGGAUUGCGGUGAAGAAUAUCCUUAAGUACCUUCGGAGGACGAAGGAAUGGUUCUUAGUCCUCGGAGGGAGUGAUGACUUGAAGGUGCGAGGGUAUAGUGACGCCAGUUUUCAGACCGACAGGGACAACUACCGUUCGCAGUCGGGCUGGGUCUUUACCCUAAAUGGAGGAGCAGUGACAUGGAAGAGUUCCAAGCAGGAAACCGUAGCUGAUUCAACGUGCGAAUCAGAGUACAUUGCAGCGAGCGAAGCGUCGAAGGAGGCAAUAUGGCUAAAGAACUUCAUCGGUGAUCUUGGAGUUGUACCUGCCAUAAAGGAGCCAAUGGAGAUUUUCUGUGAUAACGAAGGCGCGGUUGCCUUGACCAAGGAACCGAGGGAUCAUGGUAGAUCAAGACAUAUCGACAGAAAGUAUCACUUCAUUAGACAUCGUGUAGAAGAAGGACAACUCGUAGUGAAGAGGAUAUCAUCAGAAGAUAACCCAGCAGAUCCGCUUACGAAGGGACUGAGUAGGGUUAAGCACUUGCAGCAUGCUAGGAGUAUUGGGCUGAAGGAUGAUAUUAGCAUAGAUUAGAUAGUAUUAGAAACGUGUAAUAGAUAAAUGUAAUUAACAUUUGAUGAUUAAAUAAAGGAGUUUUAUUUAUGAGUAAUGUUACUAUCUUAUGUUAAUUGUUUAGCUAUUGUUUCACUUUGCAUGUUUUGACUUCCAGAAUAAUUGAGUUUAUUAGGAAUAAUCGAAUUGUUCAAAUGGUCCACAAUCGUUCAUAUGUUGGGAGUAGAUAUGAAUGAAGAUUGUCAUGAAUUGGUGUGUAGAAUGUCUAAAUGGUGUUAGACAUAGCAAAGGAUUGCUGCAACGUUCAUGAGUGCUUAUGAACUAGUUUUGAGCAUUGGAAUAAACCCGCGCUUGCUGGAAUCACCUUAUGGAAUACGAUAUAAAAGGUGAUCGCAAGACGAUAAUAUCAUAUAGUCUUAAAACCUAGAUAUAUGGUUUAUUAUUUGUUAAUUGAUUGUACAUUGAUAAUACGAAAACGCAUCAGUAACUUGGUGUUAUAAAACGUAUUGUUGUGUAUAGUUGGUAAAUGAAUAAGUAAAUGCAUAUAAGUCGAAGUUUAUCUGUAACUUUUAUCUAAGAAGGUAAAAGCGAUAUCUCGGCCGCUCGAUGAUUUGAUUUGACUUAUGUGCCGGGCCCGGUCAGAACUGAAUUGAUGUGUUCGAUUAAGUUCUAUGUCAAAUAAAUCAGAGAUCGAGAAACCUAAAUGCUUGACUAAUCAUUCCAUAGAAUUGUCAGCAUGAUAUCUAACAGAGGACUGUACGAUCCCUUAUCUAAAGGACAAGACUGAUUAGAUCAGAGUUUGACAGCGUCUUUGAGAGCUACGAUUGCGAAUUGGAUUGUAAUUGUGCAUAUAAUUGAUAGACUUAUCCAAGUGGGAGACUGUUGGAAUAGUGUCUAAGGCUGCAACUAUAUUAGGCAAGUAUUUGACCCGAUUGUGCAUGGUCCUUUUGGGUUGCCUUCACCAUAGCAACUUGAUAGGAUGAUUUAUUAUGAGAGAGUAAAUAUUAUUAAUAUAUUAUGAGAAUAAUAUAAGGAAUAAUAAUAUUGUUAUUUGAUUAAUAUAAGUCAUAAAUUAAUUAGUAUUAAUUUGGUGACUUAAAGAGAUUAAUUAAAUAAGAGGGUAUAAACUGUCAAUUGUUUGAUAGUUACACUUUAGACUGUAAAUCCUUAUUGGAUGAAGGGUGGAUGGAUUCUUGGGCUAGGGAUAGCCUCAAAUCGUCCAAUGCUUAUCUAAGGUAAGGAUUUGGAUUGCUUUAAGG